rnacentral:pre_miRNA from 1 species
CCUCCAUAGGCUGAUGGGUCCCCAGGCUGGACUGGGAAAAUGUCUCUUUGAAAGGCUCACCUUCAAAUACGACUAGGAGC